UCUGGAUAAAUUAAAGUAGAUUAGAUCUAGAAUCUAGAUUAUUCUAGAUCUACAUCUACAUUUAAUUUUAAUGUCAUUUUUGUUUGUGAAUGUGCUUUUUUGGUUUAAGUUUAAGUCUAGUCAGACUAGGCCGUCACUAGGCACAAAUAAUUAUUUUAAGUGACGCAAGGAAAGCCGUUUGAAAUAAUUAGUCUAUAAUCAUUCGAAUCCCGUGGCGUGUCUCACAGUUUAUUAGAACCUUAAUAGAUUAGAUUUAGAAAGUCAAUUUAGAAAAGAUAGUAAAACCAAAUUCUUCAACCAUUAAAAUUAAUAUUUUAAAAUACACUCUCGGAACCAAAGAGUGAAAGAAUGAUGGCAUCACUAUGAUCACUUCUUGCUGGAUCUGUCCAAGAGUCAAUGAGUACAGGUGGACCAUGUUGGAAAAUAACUUUCAGUCAAGACUCAAGUUGAGACAAGAGCUCCAUUGAUGUUAUUGAUCAAACUGAACAUGUUCUAGAGAUACUGGAGAAAAGAUUUGAGUGCAGUACAGACUCAUUUUCAAUUGAAAGCAAUUAAAAGAAGCAGAGAUAAAUACAAUCAGGAUUAGGUAUGAAGCAAAUUUCCCAAUGGCAAAUAAUGUAUCACUGUUGGAAAUAGAAGUGAAACUGAAGGAUGAAGAUUCUCAUGAAAAUUUGAUCUAUCCAGUGAAAACAGCAUUAAGAGAACAAUAGUAUGGAUUAUAACUUGGCUGGACUGGACAUGGCACAAACAGAAAAUAAAUGUAUUGAAUUUUCAAUCCAAAUUAUGGAUAUUAGAUUAUUCAAGUGAGUUACCCAAGUCUGUCAAAUAACUUAGAGAAAGUACUUGAACUUGGCACAUGUGAUGGCACAGAAAUCGUAAAAAAAAGAAGGAUGAUGGCUUCAACUCUGAAGGAACAUCCCAAUCAUGUAUAACAUUUUACAAACAAACCUAAUCAAAGUUUAUAAAUGUUUAAAAAAAGUAAGAUGCACAAGCAAAUUUAUUUACAUACUACAGAUAUUAGAACUAAUGGAAAAAGAACAACUACCUAUCUAGACUUAACAACAAAGAAAUAAGUAAAUAUAAUAUUUCAAACAUGUGCUGGAUCUUGUUAACCAUUAGCCAAAGAAACUGAUGGCCUUAACAUCAUCUGCCCUAUAGAUGCUAAGUUUGAAAAGGGGAACUUUACUUUUAUUACAACAUAAGGUUAUAAGUUGACAGUUACAGAUGAUGUACCAUAUGAGUAUCAUUGUUGUUUACUGGCUUUUGAACAGUAGCUUGAAACAUUUGCUCUUUCUUACAUAGAAUAUUCACUGUUAAAAAAUUAUGAAUAUGAUAGUGCAGCUAGUUACUCUGCUCAAAAUUGAAAAAAAUAUUUUGUUGAAAUUAUAAACAUGAGCUACCGGUAUAUAUAAAUGUAUAGUUUUCAUUGUUGAGCACACACUUUUUCUUUGGUACUGGGUAACGUACAUGACCUAUAUUUUUUUGAAAUAUUAUCAUCUAAAAUUAGGCGAGGUCUUGAGAAUAUUUACCUCGAACAGACUCAGCUUUGGGUUUUUGUGCAUGUAGACCCUAUUGAUUAAAAAGCACCAUUCUCUAAUUAUAUUUUACUUGUUUAAAUUUAUAUAUUUAUGGUUAUUAAUUAUUCUUUGUAUUUAUUUUUUAAAUUUUUUUUUGUAAAGUAAGCACUGGUAUUUUUCUAAAAGUAUGUUUCACACUUAUUUCAUUUUAAACAAAUUAAGUCAUUUACUUAAUGUUCAAUUAUGUUCUAAAUGUAUGUUUUUAAAAUUUCAGUGUUUAUAUUGCUAACAUUUCACAAACUUGUUACAGGUAGCUUAUUUUUGUUUUGGUCAUUUUUUCUUUAGAACUACCGGUACAACAUAAUCUAAAAAAAAAUUUGUUUCAUGAUUGUCAAAACAGUUUGCUUUUCAAUUUACAUACAGCAGGCUCAUACUUUGUUUAGAUAAUUCUGAAUUACAUUCUAUAUAUAAUUUAUAGGUUUCUGUAUAGGCUAUUCAAGCUUUUGUACAUGUUAAAAUUUCAUAAAUUUGGUAGCCAUUAUAUUUUUUUAAAAUUUUAUGGUAUAAUAAGUACUUAUUGUAUUUUUAAAAUAUAAGCAUCCAUAUUUUAAAAACUUAUUUCUAAUUUGCCAUUUUAAGCAAUUUUUUAUUACAAUUAAUAUUUAAAUGAAUAUGCUUUUACUUAUUUCAGUGUACAUAUUGCUUACAUUCCACCAACUCAAUACUUUUUUUGUUACUUUUAUUUUUUUACAUUUUUUUUACAUAAUUACAAAAGCUAAGUUGUUUUUUGUUGUUGUUUUUAUGAUUGUCAAAACUGUUUGCUUUAAACAUAAUUUUUAUACAGCACUUAUACUUUCUGUAGAUGAUCCUGAAUUAUGUUCUUUAUAAAUUUGUUAUACAUUUUCAUGUUAUCAUUCACAACUUUUUUGUUGACUCAAUGCAUUUUCCAUAGUAUACUAAAAUAUUAUAGGAUCAAUUUUCACAGUUAAAAUCUUUGCUACAGGUAUUGCUUUUACUUUAAAAAAAAGUUUUUUAGUGUAUUCCGGUAUUUUUAAUUAUUUUAAAUAGUUGCUAACAUUAACAUUUUAUAAUGCAAUAAACUAUUAAUUUCAA